UCGAGGUGGUGUGAUGGAUGAAGGUGUGUAGUGAGUAUGUGUGGUGUGUGGCGUGUGGUGGCCGUAGCUCCCAUGUCGGCGGUGCAUCAGCUGGGCGGUGGCGGCGGUAUGGAUGCUGUGUGGUCACCAUGGUAACGGGAGAGGCUGGCGGUGGUGGCGGUGGACGGGCAGGCGCGAGGGACACACGGGGAUCGAUGUGCUGGGCGGGGACUCUUGCUGUCAGUUCGCGUGGAGGCUUCACCCAAGACACGCUGCUCCUCACGCCCGCACCACCGCGCCUCCCCGCCUCACCCGCACGCCCACUAAAUCGUGUGGUAACGAUGACGCAAUAACACAUUUGCAUGCGAUUGCGUGCAGUGAAGUGCCGGAACACGCAACGCCUUACGAAUGACGCUCUUAUGAGACACUAAAACAAUGAGUCACGCACACGCGCGCGCACGCCCCCGCCCGCGCCUCCGCCAGGGCGACACAGAAAACGGAGCGAGGUGUGCAGAAUAACGUGCUUUGUAAACAUGAACUAAAGGAAACAGAACGACUACCAAGGGAAAUAUGAGACGUGAGUGUGCGCGCGAGAACGGUGACGACGACGAUUGGGCAGGUAACACGACCUUGGUAGCACGGUGUUGUUUGUGGUGGUGGUGGUGGUGAGGCUUGCCCGCCACCAGCAGCGUCGCCGGCGUGAUGGUGGACCUCGGAGGCUACGUCAUAAUUCUGGUCGAGACGAAGGACAAGAAGAUCAAGCUGUAUGGUGAGUUUCGUGUCUCAUCAGGAACGUGAAAGGCUCCCCGGCGGACAAAGCUGACCUCGAAGUGGGGGACGAGAUCCUGGAGGUCAACGGCAAGAGCCUAGAGGACGCCACCCACACGGAGGUCAUCUCGCACAUACACCAGUGCAUAAGGUCGAGAACAAUAUGUCUUCG